GAUGAACGCUAGCGGCAGGCUUAAUACAUGCAAGUCGUGGGGCAGCAUGAGUAGCAAUACUUGAUGGCGACCGGCAAACGGGUGAGGAACACGUACACAACCUUCCUCAAGCGGGGAAUAGCCCAGAGAAAUUUGGAUUAAUACCCCAUAAUAUAUUUGAUAAGGCAUCUUAUUAAUAUUAAAGCUUCGGCACUUGAUGAUGGGUGUGCGGCUGAUUAGAUAGUUGGCGGGGUAACGGCCCACCAAGUCUACGAUCAGUAGCUGAUGUGAGAGCAUGAUCAGCCACACGGGCACUGAGACACGGGCCCGACUCCUACGGGAGGCAGCAGUAAGGAAUAUUGGACAAUGGACG
rnacentral:rRNA from 1 species